GCUGGGCGUAGUGGUUGGCGCCUGUAAUCCCAGCUACUCAGGAGGCUGAGGCAGGAGAAUCACUUGAACCCAGGAGUCAGAGGCUGCAGUGAGCUGAGAUGGCGCCACUGAACUCCAGCCUGGGCAACAGAGUGAGACCCUGUCUCAA
ensembl:misc_RNA Metazoa_SRP Metazoan signal recognition particle RNA